rnacentral:rRNA from 1 species
CCUACGGGUGGCAGCAGUGAGGAAUAUUGGACAAUGGGGGAAACCCUGAUCCAGCGACGCCGCGUGAGUGAAGAAGUAUUUCGGUACGUAAAGCUCUAUCAGCAGGAAAGAAAAUGACGGUACCUUACUAAGAAGCCCCGGCUAACUACGUGCCAGCAGCCGCGGUAAUACGUAGGGGGCAAGCGUUAUCCGGAUUUUCUGGGUGUAAAGGGAGGGUUGACGGCUGUGCAAGUUAGAAGUGAAAUGCCGGGGCCCAACCCCGGGACUGUACUGGAAACUGUGAAGCUGGAGUGACGGAGAGGUAAGCGGAAGUCCUGGUGUAGCGGUGAAAUGCGUAGAUAGUAGGAGGAACACCGGCGGCGAAGGCGGCUUACUGGACUGUAACUGACGUUGAGGCUCGAAGGCGUGGGGAGCAAACAGGAUUAGAUACCCGAGUAGUC